UCGCGCAUCAGCCAUGGCGCGGUGAAUACGUUCCCGGGCCUUGUACACACCGCCCGUCAAGCCAUGGGAGCCGGGGGUGCUUGAAGUGCGUCGCCGUGAGGGCGCGCCCUAGAGGCAAAACCGGUGACUGGGGCUAAGUCGUAACAAGGUACC
rnacentral:rRNA from 1 species